GUUCCUGUAACUUAAAAACCAAAGUAUGGCACUGAAGAUGCCACGAUGGAUAAUUUUUCCCAGAAACA
rnacentral:tRNA from 1 species